AGGCUUAACACAUGCAAGUCGAGGGGCAUCAGGAAGAAAGCUUGCUUUCUUUGCUGGCGACCGGCGCACGGGUGAGUAACACGUAUCCAACCUGCCCUUUACUCGGGGAUAGCCUUUCGAAAGAAAGAUUAAUACCCGAUAGCAUAAUGAUUCCGCAUGGUUUCAUUAUUAAAGGAUUCCGGUAAAGGAUGGGGAUGCGUUCCAUUAGGUUGUUGGUGAGGUAACGGCCCACCAAGCCUUCGAUGGAUAGGGGUUCUGAGAGGAAGGUCCCCCACAUUGGAACUGAGACACGGUCCAAACUCCUACGGGAGGCAGCAGUGAGGAAUAUUGGUCAAUGGGCGCUAGCCUGAACCAGCCAAGUAGCGUGAAGGAUGAAGGCUCUAUGGGUCGUAAACUUCUUUUAUAUAAGAAUAAAGUGCAGUAUGCAUACUGUUUUGUAUGUAUUAUAUGAAUAAGGAUCGGCUAACUCCGUGCCAGCAGCCGCGGUAAUACGGAGGAUCCGAGCGUUAUCCGGAUUUAUUGGGUUUAAAGGGAGCGUAGGUGGACUGGUAAGUCAGUUGUGAAAGUUUGCGGCUCAACCGUAAAAUUGCAGUUGAUACUGUCAGUCUUGAGUACAGUAGAGGUGGGCGGAAUUCGUGGUGUAGCGGUGAAAUGCUUAGAUAUCACGAAGAACUCCGAUUGCGAAGGCAGCUCACUGGACUGCAACUGACACUGAUGCUCGAAAGUGUGGGUAUCAAACAGGAUUAGAUACCCUGGUAGUCCACACAGUAAACGAUGAAUACUCGCUGUUUGCGAUAUACAGUAAGCGGCCAAGCGAAAGCAUUAAGUAUUCCACCUGGGGAGUACGCCGGCAACGGUGAAACUCAAAGGAAUUGACGGGGGCCCGCACAAGCGGAGGAACAUGUGGUUUAAUUCGAUGAUACGCGAGGAACCUUACCCGGGCUUAAAUUGCAGUGGAAUGAUGUGGAAACAUGUCAGUGAGCAAUCACCGCUGUGAAGGUGCUGCAUGGUUGUCGUCAGCUCGUGCCGUGAGGUGUCGGCUUAAGUGCCAUAACGAGCGCAACCCUUAUCUUUAGUUACUAACAGGUUAUGCUGAGGACUCUAGAGAGACUGCCGUCGUAAGAUGUGAGGAAGGUGGGGAUGACGUCAAAUCAGCACGGCCCUUACGUCCGGGGCUACACACGUGUUACAAUGGGGGGUACAGAAGGCAGCUAGCGGGUGACCGUAUGCUAAUCCCAAAAUCCUCUCUCAGUUCGGAUCGAAGUCUGCAACCCGACUUCGUGAAGCUGGAUUCGCUAGUAAUCGCGCAUCAGCCACGGCGCGGUGAAUACGUUCCCGGGCCUUGUACACACCGCCCGUCAAGCCAUGGGAGCCGGGGGUACCUGAAGUACGUAACAGCAAGGAUCGUCCUAGGGUAAAACUGGUGACUGGGGCUAA
rnacentral:rRNA from 1 species